GAGAAUCCUCCCUCCUUUUCUGUUAAUUGGGCAACGUUCAGCUGCUCAAUAGCUUGACAUUUAGAGUCUGUCAGCUCUGAGGAUGCAUAAAUACACACAUACGCAGCUUAGAAUAUGUUCUCUCUUUUCCAGGGUCUGCUUAAAUACUUCAACAUACAUUCAUUUAAUUGCCGUUAAACUUGUUUGCGUAGUCCGUCACUCUAACCUUCUGUCCUUUAUCAGUGUUAUUCUGCCCAAAAUCUAUCCAUCUACUCUUUCUUUUUUUUGUUUCUUGCUAGGUGCUCAAAACAUGGAGGGAUAUUUAUCAAGUGUCCUUCACAAAUGCUGCCCUGGUGAACUCAGAUAUUGACCUGGAAUUAUUGUACCAACCAAUAGUCAGAACAAAAAGAUGAAAGUUUAAUUAUUUAGCCGAGUCUAAAAACCUCAAAUUAACCUAAUGAUGAGCCAUCUGGCAUCUCCAACUGCAACUUUGUCACACGACAAAAAGAGAGACGGGCGGAAAGAGAGAUGCACAGAGAUAAGAAUAACAGAUCAAGGAAUGAGGGGAAUAAAUAGACUGGCAGAGAGAAACAGAAAUGUAUGGGGAUGGAAAGAGAUAAAGAGAGAUGGAUGGUCAGAACAAGAAAAAAACAAGUUGACAGAGAUAGAAAAGAAGAGAGAAAGCAUCAAUAGCAAAAACCAGGAGGCUGUUGCCAUACAGAGAUCAUGGAGGAGGGAGUGUAAUGGAGGCCCAUGAGAGCACUUUCUUUUGAUGGCUUUACUAAAAUAAUGGGAUUCAGAACACAAAUAAUAAGGUCUUGUAUUCAGGGUCGUCUUCCUAAGGUACUGUGCAAGAGUGGGAAAGGGGUAGAGUCUGCUGAAGUUACAGGCCCGUUGAUUCAACUGUUAUGGGAGUGGCCUACCUCUCAUGACCACACCCACCAUAACACUUCUGACGUUCCAGCUCCUUCCACAUGGAAUGUAGUUUGUUUUUAAAAAUCAGUAUUUUGUAAUUUAAAUCAGUAUUUUUGUAAUUUAGAAAUCAGUAUUUUUGUAAUUUAAAAAUCAGUAUUUUUUCUGGUGGAUAUUGAAAAGUCAAUUUUAAAUUUUACUCAAAAUGCGAUAUUCACAGAUUUAUUAGGUAAUAUUUUCUCCCUCUUUUUCCAAAACAUGACAAACGCCAGUCUCCCUUGUUUGCAGAAUGCCAUAUAUCCGCUCAACCAAUCACAGCACACCAUUCCACGCACUGUAGACAGCUAUUGGCAGCGCUUUGAAUUCACUCUGCAUCUUAGUUUUCCUCAUCUACUUUGUAGUUUUUGAUCAACAAACAAGGGUUGCACAAUAAAUCGCAUGAGAUUGAUCAAGAAAGCCGGUUCUGUGAUUAAUAGUAAGGGUAAAUCUCCAUCAUGUGCUUUUAAAUGGAGCAACAAUUAAUACACAGAGCCGUAGAUCACUGACAAGUUGCGCUAUAUCGCGUUCAUUAGAUGAAUCGCAUUCGAACGCGAUAUUGCAUAGCUUGUCAGUGUUCGUAUUUUUAUUAAUGCCAUUUAAGUUUUUGUUAAUGCAGGAGCACAUAGCACUAGUCAUCUAAAUUAAUGUAACAUGGCAAAGAUGAAUGUACUUUUGGAAGUUGAAUGUAAGGGAAAUUUCUGUGGUCUAAUGUGAUAUUGUUCAUGUUCUUGUUCAUGAUGAAAUUGUAUUUUAUUGCUGUAAUUAAUUUAUAGCAUUGACAAGAUGACCCACUGAAUUAAUUUUGGAAGCAAGGACUGAUAGAUGUAUUUUUAG